AUUGAACGCUGGCGGCAGGCCUAACACAUGCAAGUCGAACGAGUGGCGGACGGGUGAGUAAUGUCUGGGAAACUGCCUGAUGGAGGGGGAUAACUACUGGAAACGGUAGCUAAUACCGCAUACCAUCAGAUGUGCCCAGAUGGGAUUAGCUAGUUGGGUGGGUAACGGCUCACAAAGGCGCCGAUCCCUCGCUGGUCUGAGAGGAUGACAAGCCACACUGGAACUGAGACACGGUCAAGACUCCUACGGGAGGCAGCAGGGGGGAAUAUUGCACAAUGGGCGCAAGCCUGAUGCAGCCAUGCCGCGUGUAUGAAGAAGGCCUUCGGGUGGUAAAGUACUGUCAGCGGGGAGGCGUUACCCGCAGAAGAAGCACCGGCUAACGCCGUGCCAGCAGCCGCGGUAAUAC
rnacentral:rRNA from 1 species